rnacentral:rRNA from 1 species
UACGUAGGGUGCGAGCGUUAAUCGGAAUUACUGGGCGUAAAGCGUGCGCAGGCGGUUCGUUGUGUCGGCGGUGAAAGCCCCGGGCUUAACCUGGGAAUGGCCGUUGAAACUGGCGAACUGGAGUGUGGCAGAGGGGGGGGUGGAAUUCCGCGUGUAGCAGUGAAAUGCGUAGAGAUGCGGAGGAACACCGAUGGCGAAGGCAGCCCCCUGGGCUAACACUGACGCUCAGGCACGAAAGCGUGGGGAGCAAACAGG